GGUGCUAACGUCCGUCGUGAAGAGGGAAACAACCCAGACCGCCAGCUAAGGUCCCAAAGUCAUGGUUAAGUGGGAAACGAUGUGGGAAGGCCCAGACAGCCAGGAUGUUGGCUUAGAAGCAGCCAUCAUUUAAAGAAAGCGUAAUAGCUCACUGGUCGAGUCGGCCUGCGCGGAAGAUGUAACGGGGCUAAACCAUGCACCGAAGCUGCGGCAGCGACACUGUGUGUUGUUGGGUAGGGGAGCGUUCUGUAAGCCUGUGAAGGUGUGUCGUGAGGCAUGCUGGAGGUAUCAGAAGUGCGAAUGCUGACAUAAGUAACGAUAAAGCGGGUGAAAAGCCCGCUCGCCGGAAGACCAAGGGUUCCUGUCCAACGUUAAUCGGGGCAGGGUGAGUCGACCCCUAAGGCGAGGCCGAAAGGCGUAGUCGAUGGGAAACGGGUUAAUAUUCCCGUACUUGGUGUUACUGCGAAGGGGGGACGGAGAAGGCUAUGUUGGCCGGGCGACGGUUGUCCCGGUUUAAGCGUGUAGGUGUGUGUUCCAGGUAAAUCCGGUUCACUUUAACACUGAGGCGUGACGACGAGGCACUACGGUGCUGAAGCAACAAAUGCCCUGCUUCCAGGAAAAGCCUCUAAGCAUCAGGUAACAUCAAAUCGUACCCCAAACCGACACAGGUGGUCAGGUAGAGAAUACCAAGGCGCUUGAGAGAACUCGGGUGAAGGAACUAGGCAAAAUGGUGCCGUAACUUCGGGAGAAGGCACGCUGACACGUAGGUGAAGUGAUUUACUCAUGGAGCUGAAGUCAGUCGAAGAUACCAGCUGGCUGCAACUGUUUAUUAAAAACACAGCACUGUGCAAACACGAAAGUGGACGUAUACGGUGUGACGCCUGCCCGGUGCCGGAAGGUUAAUUGAUGGGGUCAGCGCAAGCGAAGCUCCUGAUCGAAGCCCCGGUAAACGGCGGCCGUAACUAUAACGGUCCUAAGGUAGCGAAAUUCCUUGUCGGGUAAGUUCCGACCUGCACGAAUGGCGUAAUGAUGGCCAGGCUGUCUCCACCCGAGACUCAGUGAAAUUGAACUCGCUGUGAAGAUGCAGUGUACCCGCGGCAAGACGGAAAGACCCCGUGAACCUUUACUAUAGCUUGACACUGAACAUUGAGCCUUGAUGUGUAGGAUAGGUGGGAGGCUUUGAAGUGUGGACGCCAGUCUGC
rnacentral:rRNA from 1 species